UUGAAAUGGUUAGACCACUGUCUUCGAGUCCGGUUGAGAAAUAGCGAAUUUGAGUAUCGGGAAGUAAGUAUGAGUAAGGUCCGGGUCUGGUUGAGUAACUCAGGAUAGAGAGAGUCCUUCAUUUCUAAAGUAUGAAUAAAUAGUAGACAUGUAGCUGCCUUUUAGGUAUUGAAUCCCUGGCCGGGAAGCGUGAACGAUAACAUGAGUCUUUAAGGACAGAGUGACCCCGUGGGUUGUCCAUUCUUUCGGGUAUUCACUCAAAAAUCAUUGAAUUGAA